rnacentral:tRNA from 1 species
GUGGAUAUGGUCGAAUGGUAAAAUUUUUCUUAUCCAAGGAGAAGAUGUUGGUUCGAUUCCUGCUAUCCACC